UAAAAGACCAUCCCAGUUCGGAUUGCAGGCUGAAACCCGCCUGUAUGAAGUUGGAAUCGCUAGUAAUCGCGGAUCAGCAUGCCGCGGUGAAUACGUUCCCGGGCCUUGUACACACCGCCCGUCACACCAUGAGAGUCGGGAACACCCGAAGUCCGUAGCCUAACCGCAAGGGGGGCGCGGCCGAAGGUGGGUUCGAUAAUUGGGGUGAAGUCGUAACAAGGUACC
rnacentral:rRNA from 1 species